rnacentral:misc_RNA from 1 species
UUGAGCCGUGUACUGGAAUAUUCGCAUGCACGGUUAUUAGGGAGUUGGACGCGGACAAUCGGGUUUGACUACCCGGC